UACGGAGGGUGCAAGCGUUAUCCGGAUUCACUGGGCUUAAAGGGUGCGUAGGAGGGCAGGGAAGUCAGUGGUGAAAUCUCCGGGCUUAACUCGGAAACUGCCGUUGAUACUCUCUGUCUUGAAUCCCGUGGAGGUGAGCGGAAUAUGUCAUGUAGCGGUGAAAUGCUUAGAUAUGACAUAGAACACCAAUGGCGAAGGCAGCUCGCUGCACGAAGAUUGACUCUGAGGCACGAAAGCGUGGGGAUCAAACAGG
rnacentral:rRNA from 1 species